rnacentral:rRNA from 1 species
GACCCCAGGUCAGGCGGGAUUACCCGCUGAAUUU